rnacentral:rRNA from 1 species
GAUCAUGGCUCAGGAUGAACGCUAGCUACAGGCUUAACACAUGCAAGUCGCGGGGCAGCAUGAAGGAUGCUUGCAUCCUUUGAUGGCGACCGGCGCACGGGUGAGUAACGCGUAUCCAACCUGCCUGUUACCACGGCACAGCCCGUCGAAAGGCGGAUUAAUGCCGUAUGUGGUCUUGAAAGGGCAUCUGAUCAUGACUAAAGGUUCAGCGGUAACGGAUGGGGA